AUUGAACGCUGGCGGCAGGCCUAACACAUGCAAGUCGAACGGUAGCACAGAGAGCUUGCUCUCGGGUGACGAGUGGCGGACGGGUGAGUAACGUCUGGGAAACUGCCCGAUGGAGGGGGAUAACUACUGGAAACGGUAGCUAAUACCGCAUAACGUCGCAAGACCAAAGUGGGGGACCUUCGGGCCUCACACCAUCGGAUGUGCCCAGAUGGGAUUAGCUAGUAGGUGGGGUAAUGGCUCACCUAGGCGACGAUCCCUAGCUGGUCUGAGAGGAUGACCAGCAGCACUGGAACUGAGACACGGCCCAGACUCCUACGGGAGGCAGCAGUGGGGAAUAUUGCACAAUGGGCGCAAGCCUGAUGCAGGAAUGCCGCGUGUAUGAAGAAGGCCUUCGGGUAGUAAAGUACUUUCGGCGGGGAGGAAGUCGGUGAAGUUAAUAACUUCACCGAUUGACGUUACCCGCAGAAGAAGCACCGGCUAACUCCGUGCCAGCAGCCGCCGUAA
rnacentral:rRNA from 1 species